rnacentral:pre_miRNA from 1 species
GUAAGGCUGUUGGGCAGUUGAGGGAGCGGGUCCCAGAGUAGCUCCCGGAGUCACUGAUGAGCUUGGUUCUGCUUUCCUAGGACCUGCUGGCCCUGA